GAGCGGGGGUGCCCGAGCCUGGCCAAAGGGGGCGGACUUAAGAUCCGCUGCCGGAGGGCUGCGCGGGUUCGAAUCCCGUCCCCCGCAC
rnacentral:tRNA from 1 species